rnacentral:rRNA from 1 species
CCUACGGGGGGCUGCAGUGAGGAAUAUUGGUCAAUGGACGCAAGUCUGAACCAGCCAUGCCGCGUGCAGGAAGACGGCCCUAUGAGUUGUAAACUGCUUUUGUACGAGGGUAAACGCAGAUACGCGUAUCUGUCUGAAAGUAUCGUACGAAUAAGGAUCGGCUAACUCCGUGCCAGCAGCCGCGGUAAUACGGAGGAUUCAAGCGUUAUCCGGAUUUAUUGGGUUGAAAGGGUGCGUAGGCGGUCUGAUAAGUUAGAGGUGAAAUCCCGGGGCUCAACUCCGGGAUUGCCGCGGAUACUGGUCAGCUAGAGAGUGGUGGCGGUAGGCGGAAUGCAUGGUGUAGCGGUGAAAUGCGUAGAGAGCAGGAAGAACACCGAUGGCGAAGGCAGCUUACCGAG